GUGGGAGCCCGUGGCCUUUAAAGUGCCGUUCAGCCUUUUCCUCCAGGGGUGCUUUGUAAACACGGCUGUGCUCAGGGCUCGCGGGUGACCGAAAGGAUCAUGAACUAGUGACCUGGAAAGGGUACUAGAUGGAAACUUGAGAAAGGACUGCUUAUUGAUAACAGCUAAGGUAUUCCUGGAAGCAGAGUAAAUAAAGCUCAUGGCCCACCAGCUAGAAAGUAUUCUUGCCAUGAGAAAAAGAAUGUGAUAAGUUAUUCAACUUAUGAAAUUCAAGUUACAUGUGAAUUCUGCCAGGCAAUACAAGGACCUGUGGAAUAUGAGUGAUGACAAACCCUUUCUAUGUACUGCGCCUGGAUGUGGCCAGAUCAGACCCCAACACCAACAAGAUUCUUGAAAAACUGUGAAGAAGUGGGUUUGUUUAAUGAGUUGGCGAGUCCAUUUGAGAAUGAAUUCAAGAAAGCUUCAGAAGAUGACAUUAAAAAAAUGCCUCUAGAUUUAUCCCCUCUUGCAACACCUAUCAUAAGAAGCAAAAUUGAGGAGCCUUCUGUUGUAGAAACAACUCACCAGGAUAGUCCUUUACCUCACCCAGAGUCUACUACCAGUGAUGAGAAGGAAGUACCAUUGGCACAAACUGCACAGCCCACAUCAGCUAUUGUUCGUCCAGCAUCAUUACAGGUUCCCAAUGUGCUGCUUACAAGUUCUGACUCAAGUCCCUGUACCAGGCCCAUUUCCUCUUCUGUUACAUCUUCCUAAUGGACAAACCAUGCCUGUUGCUAUUCCUGCAUCAAUUACAAGUUCUAAUGUGCAUGUUCCAGCUGCAGUCCCACUCGUUCGACCAGUCACCAUGGUGCCUAGUGUUCCAGGAAUCCCAGGUCCUUCCUCUCCCCAACCAGUACAGUCAGAAGC
rnacentral:lncRNA from 1 species